CGCUGGAUGCAGCACAAGGGGUGGGGGUCACCCCUCUGUGUCCCCCCCCAACCUUACCCCCGGCUUGAAGGCGGCUGACGAAGCACCAGGAAGUGGAGAGAAGGAGCUGGGGGCUGGCACCCCCCCCUGCAGCAAGGGCAGGCACAGACCCACCGCACUGAAAACUGAUGGGGAUCGGCCAUCAAAGCAGAAACCCUCCAGAAGCAGCACCACGAUCACAUUUGGGUGAAACCUAAUUAUGGGUGAGAUUAACACAGAGGGGACAGGGUCCCCCCCAGCACCCCUCUUCCCCCUCCCAUGGCUCAGGUCAAGCUCAGCCACACACCAGAGAGGAAAAAAAAUCCUGCAAGGGCAGAGGAAAAGCUGUUGCAAAAGCUCCGUGGAUUUUACUGAAACCACCACAUCUGCAGCCAGACGUGGCCAGAGUGCCAAGGGGACAGGGCACGCAGCAUGUGACUAAUUUAAUUACCGGCAGCUCUAAAAUAAACUCAAUUUGCCACA